rnacentral:rRNA from 1 species
UACGAAGGGGGCUAGCGUUGCUCGGAAUCACUGGGCGUAAAGGGCGCGUAGGCGGGCCUUUAAGUCAGGGGUGAAAUCCUGGAGCUCAACUCCAGAACUGCCUUUGAUACUGCAGAUCUUGAGUUCGGGAGAGGUGAGUGGAACUGCGAGUGUAGAGGUGAAAUUCGUAGAUAUUCGCAAGAACACCAGUGGCGAAGGCGGCUCACUGGCCCGAUACUGACGCUGAGGCACGAAAGCGUGGGGAGCAAACGGG